rnacentral:rRNA from 1 species
UACGUAGGGCGCAAGCGUUAUCCGGAAUUAUUGGGCGUAAAGAGCUCGUAGGCGGUUUGUCGCGUCUGCCGUGAAAGUCCGGGGCUCAACUCCGGAUCUGCGGUGGGUACGGGCAGACUAGAGUGAUGUAGGGGAGACUGGAAUUCCUGGUGUAGCGGUGAAAUGCGCAGAUAUCGGGAGGAACACCGGUGGCGAAGGCGGCGAUCUGGGUCGAUACUGACGCUGAGGUGCGAAAGCGUGGGAGCAACAGG